AGAAACUUAAUAAAGUUAGUUAUGCUCAAAGAGAUUUUACUCAGUCAUUUGAAAAACAGAAUGGAAGGAGUAACAGGAAACAAUGCCUACAUCUGUUAAAUACUCAUGAGCUUUACAUAUAUUUCACUUUAUCUUGACCACACCCCAACAAGAUUAAGUAUAUUUCCACUUUACUGAUGAGGACAGAGGUGUGUGUGUGCAUGUGUAUAUGCUUCAUCUGGAGGCCUAAUCACCAAUUAUAAUUCUUUUCAGAGGGAAAAAGUGCUUAGGAUUCCUCUUUGGAGACAUCAGACCACCAGAAAGAAGCUCUGAAGACAUAAGGGAGUUUGGUGGCAAAAGCUAUCAGGUUAUUUGUUCCUAACAAAGCCAAAGGAGCUCCUCUUUGAAGGCAGCAUAUAAUUUCUGGGGCUAGCAGCAGUGACUUCCUAACAAAGGCUCUAGGGACUCAUGUACAAAAAUCAUUAUCAAGCUCAGGAGUGUCUUGUAAGUGAUUUGGGGUGGUUACACUCAGCAACACAUACAUACAAAAAUAACUAUUUUGUUA
rnacentral:lncRNA from 10 species